rnacentral:rRNA from 1 species
UCCGUAGGUGGAUAAUUAAGUCAGAGGUGAAAUCCUGCAGCUCAACUGUAGAAUUGCCUUUGAUACUGGUUAUCUUGAGUCAUUAUGAAGUGGUUAGGAUGUGUAGUGUAGCGGUGAAAUGCAUAGAUAUUACACAGAAUACCGAUUGCGAAGGCAGAUCACUAAUAAUGUACUGACACUGAGGGACGAAAGCAUGGGGAGCAAACAGGAUUAGAUACCCUGGUAGUCC